UCUCAAUCUGUCUCCAGUGUCAUAAAACACAGGAUUGUGACAUGUCAGGGAAGAGUUGUUUUAAAACUGCUUUUUUUGAAAAGGUACCGUAAGCAUGAACAAAAUACCUGCUGGAAGCAAAACCCACUUCAGUGAUUUACAUGGUGAAUUCAAUUGGCAGAGAACUGGAAUUGUGUGACAGUGGAUAUGUCAGGGGAAGGCUCAGAAGACUUGGUUAGUCAAGUACAGGAGUAGUUGGUGACCUGUGAAUGAUCCACACAUCUGAUUAAUGCUUGGUACCCUUCCUCCAAUCAAGAAAACAUCCUCAGGCAUUAGCUGGUGUUAAAUGGAGCAUAACGAUUUGCACCCAUACUUGAAGAAAAUGCGUCUGAAAUGGAUAACUGCCUUUCUCUGGAUGAUUAUCACUCACAGCAUUUAAUUAAAGAGAUGUUAUCAUAACCUGAGUAAGAGAAGAUAGAUUGCUGGCUGUGUGUUGCCAACAGUAGUUUAUAACACAAUAAAACAGACAUUUGGAUAUAUAGACUUUAACAACAUUUGCUAAUUUGUUCCAAACAAACACAUCCUUGGAGAUUCUAAAUGAACACCACAGUUAUAAUUUUGACAGCAGGGAUAAAAGGUCAUUACGCCUUGGUUCCAUUUCACAAAACGCUCAAGAAGAUUUCACCAAAACAACUAAAGCCUCCAUUUGAGUGAGUGGUGGGGCCACACAGGUAAAAAGGUCACAGAUUUGAUCUCCAGUCUUUGUUGAUGAUACCUGCCUGUUAAAUGGAUGAUGCAGUAGAUCUCAAUGUGUUUGUGGUAAGUAAUGAUAAAUCAACCAGAGUUCUACAGAGAUUGUUUCAUGUGAAUCUUCUUGGA